UAUUGGAGGAAAAACCAAAAACCAACAAUCCAACAACACCAAAAU
rnacentral:misc_RNA from 1 species